CUAGGUUCAGCGGGUAUUUCUACCUGAUCCGAGGUCAACCUUGAGAAGGGGGUUUUUUUACGGCCGGUCACCCGUCGCGUGCCCUGAGCGUGGUAAGUUUACUGCACUCGGUACGACGACGAGCCCGCCACUGGGUUUGGGAGCUGCGGCAGCCGCAGGGCUCCAACACAAGCGCAGGCGCUUGAUGGUUGAAAUGACGC
rnacentral:misc_RNA from 1 species